AUGAGUGAGGAACUCGAGCGGGACUACGAGAUCGGGGAGGAGAUCGGGCGCGGCCGCUUCGGCGUCGUCCGCCGCUGCGCGUCCCGCUCCACCGGCGACCUCUACGCCGUCAAGUCGGUCGACCGCUCGCGCCUCGACGACGACCUGGACCGCGGCCUGGCCGAGCUGGAGCCCAAGCUGGCGCAGCUGGCCGCCGCGGGCAACCCGGGCGUCGUGCAGGUGCACGCGGUGUACGAGGACGAGGCGUGGACGCACGUGGUGAUGGACCUCUGCGCCGGGCCCGACCUGCUCGACUGGGUCCGCCUCCGCCACGGCGCGCCCGUCCCGGAGCCCGAGGCCGCCGCCGUGGCCGCGCAGCUCGCCGAGGCCCUCGCGAUCUGCCACCGCCGCGGCGUCGCGCACCGCGACGUCAAGCCGGACAAUGUGCUCCUCGACGCCCCCGACGGCGGCGAGGGCGACGGCCCCGUGCGCGCCAGGCUCGCGGACUUCGGGUCCGCGGCGCUGGUCGGCGGCGGAGAGGGCGCGCGGGGGCUGGUGGGCACGCCGCACUACGUGGCGCCCGAGGUGGUGGCGGGUGGCGAGUACGGGGAGAAGGCCGACGUGUGGAGCGCCGGGGUGGUCCUGUACGUGCUCCUCACCGGCGGCGCGCUGCCCUUCAGCGGCGAGACGGCGUCGGACGUGUUCGCGGCGGUGCUGCGCGGGAGCCCCAGGUUCCCGCCGAGGCUGUUCGCCGGGGUGUCGCCGCUGGCCAAGGACCUGAUGCGGCGCAUGAUGUGCCGCGACGUCUCCCGAAGGUUCUCCGCGGAGCAAGUCCUCCGGCACCCGUGGAUCGUGAGCGGAGGGGGCGCCCGAGAGGCGGUGCAGCCAACCUGA
rnacentral:rRNA from 1 species